AUACUUACCUGGACGAGGUCUAUGGGUGAUCAACAAAAUCCAUGCCCUAGGCCCGUGGUCCACCCAGGCCCGUCAUCCACAUUGCACUUUGUUGGGUGCACUGGCCUAUCAUCAUUUGUGGUAGAGCGGUACGCGCCAUGCCCGGCCCUUG
rnacentral:snRNA from 9 species